rnacentral:rRNA from 1 species
GCGCAGCAGGCGCGAAUUUUCUCAAUGGGCGAAAGCCUGAAGGAGCGACGCCGCGUGGGGGAUGAAUGGCUUCGGCCCGUAAACCCUGUCAUUUGUGAACAAAUUGCUUCACCUAAUACGUGAAGCAUUGAUUGUAACGGAAGAGGAAGGGACGGCUAACUCUGUGCCAGCAGCCGCGGUAAUACAGAGGUCCCAAGCGUUGUUCGGAUUCACUGGGCGUAAAGGGUGCGUAGGCGGUUUGACAAGUCUGAUGUGAAAUCCCGCAGCUUAACUGCGGAACUGCAUUGGAAACUGUUUGACUAGAGGGAUGGAGGGGAGACUGGAAUACUUGGUGUAGCAGUGAAAUGCGUAGAUAUCAAGUGGAACACCAGUGGCGAAGGCGAGUCCCUGGACAUUUCCUGACGCUGAGGCACGAAAGCCAGGGGAGCAAGCGGGAUUAGAUACCCCCGUAGU